GAUGAACGCUGGCGGCGUGCCUAAUACAUGCAAGUCGAGCGAGCAGACGAGGAGCUUGCUCCUCUGACGUUAGCGGCGGACGGGUGAGUAACACGUGGAUAACCUACCUAUAAGACUGGGAUAACUUCGGGAAACCGGAGCUAAUACCGGAUAACAUGUUGAACCGCAUGGUUCAACAGUGAAAGACGGUCUUGCUGUCACUUAUAGAUGGAUCCGCGCCGCAUUAGCUAGUUGGUAAGGUAACGGCUUACCAAGGCAACGAUGCGUAGCCGACCUGAGAGGGGGAUCGGCCACACUGGAACUGAGACACGGUCCAGACUCCUACGGGAGGCAGCAGUAGGGAAUCUUCCGCAAUGGGCGAAAGCCUGACGGAGCAACGCCGCGUGAGUGAAGAAGGUCUUCGGAUCGUAAAACUCUGUUAUUAGGGAAGAACAAAUGUGUAAGUAACUAUGCACGUCUUGACGGUACCUAAUCAGAAAGCCACGGCUAACUACGUG
rnacentral:rRNA from 1 species